rnacentral:rRNA from 1 species
CAAUAGCGUAUAUUAAAGUUGUUGCAGUUAAAAAGCUCGUAGUCGGAUUUCGGGUCGGGCCGAGCGGUCUGCCGAUGGGUAUGCACUGUUCGGCGCGGCCUUCUUUCCGGAGACCGCGGCUACUCUUAACUGAGCGGGCGUGGGAGACGGAUCGUUUACUUUGAAAAAAUCAGAGUGUUUCAAGCAGGCAGCUCGCUCUUGCAUGGAUUAGCAUGGGAUAAUGAAAUAGGACUCUGGUGCUAUUUUGUUGGUUUCGAACACCGGAGUAAUGAUUAACAGGGACAGUCAGGGGCACUCGUAUUCCGUCGAGAGAGGUGAAAUUCUCAGACCAAUGGAAGACGAACCACUGCGAAAGCAUUUGCCAGGGAUGUUUUCACUGA